rnacentral:ncRNA from 16 species
GUCGUUCAUCUCUACAUUGUUACGAGAAAACACAGUGAAGGGACGGAAGUAGGCUUGUAUCAUGAAGCCGAAGGAACGCUCA